GGGCAGGAGGGGCCAAGUGCCCCCUCCCCCACCCUGUGGGCGCCCAUGGCUGUACAUAUAUACAACAUCGAACAUUUUUUGUCUUGGGGUGCCUUGAAAAAUAUUGAAAUAUUAAGGGCGCCUUAAACUUAAAAAGUUUGGGAACCACUGUGUUAGACAGAAUAUUGAAUAUCUUAGUAAGCGAUAAAAAAAAAGAAAAGUUGAGGUGAUAAUUCUACUCUGUGUCUCUCCAACAUUAAUGGGAAUAUACAUUUCAUACAUAUUGUUUAUAGCGUUUUCAAAAAUGAUUUUCCUUAUCCUGGUAAUGAACAUUUAAGGUAUAUAUUUCUGGCAACAUGAAAUGUUAACUAUGUCUACUGAAAGCAGAAAUAUAUAGAGGCAAGGCUUCCCUUUGGGUAGGGCAAUAGGGACACUUGCCCAGGGCAAAGCACAUGUUUAGGCAGCUCUCACCACACAAUCUUGAAGAGAAAGGCAGAGAAUUAACCACUGACUGCCUGGAAUCCAGAUGUUGUAGUGAAGGUUGUACAGAGUUACUGUGAAUGUGUGUUUAUCCAUAUCUCCCAACAUUUCAGAUGGACAAAGAGGGACACUUUAAUUUUAGGUGUGUGAUUUAUGGAGUGGUGACUAAAUAUUAGGUGACUUACUAAUAAUUUAUACAACUAUAAUGUAAUGUAGAAAAAGAACACUGUAUCUUAUUUACACAGACUGAUUUCUAAACACAUAUAUUGUAGUUUAAAGACUCAUUAUUUUGAGUUUUAUUGCUGUUUAGCUUUGCCAUACACACAUACACACAAACAAUAUGCAUUUCCUAGAAAAAAAAAGGGACAGGGGGAUCUUUUGCCCCAAAUAGGGACUGCCAUUCCUAAAUACAUAGUUACAUAGCUGAAAGGAGACUUGCGUCCAUCAAAUUCAGCCUUCCUCACAUUUGUUUUUUGCUGUUGAUCCAAAAGAAGGCAAAAAACCCAGUUUGAAGCACAAUUUUGCAACAAGCUAGGAAAAAAAUUCCUUCUUGACUCCAAAUGGGGACAACUGACAAUAUGAGUAUGUAUCCAGAUAUGUCUGCUUUUGUGUCUCAAUUGAUUAAUUCCAGUUUGUUUCUGUUGAUGUCUGCUAGUGUGUUUUUAUGUAUGCCAGUAUGUUGUAUGUGUAUGUGCUAGAGUGUGCAGUAGGAUAGGUCAGAGUGUGGUUCUCUGUGUGGUAUUGUGUACCUAUGAAAGUGUAUAUUUGUGUGUGUCUAGGAAUGUGUCUGAUUAAUUAUGUAUGUGUGUAUAUGCUUGUGUCUGAUUAGAUAUGUGUGAAUAGAUGAUUCUGGAAUUGUUUGUGACUUCUGAUAUGUCUGUACGUGGCUAACUAUGUAUGUUUUGCUAGUAAUUUCUUUCUGUCAUGGAAGCAUGUAUAAUUGUCUUUUCAAAUGUCAUGCAAAUUUAAAAGGGUUUCCUUGUCUAAAGGUUUACCAUAUUCAAUGUUGUGAUGAAUAUAUAAAUAAAUAGUGUUGAUUAAGUGUUGCCAUUCUCAGCCAAUGAGCUAAGCCUCAAGCUUCAUGCUUUGUUCAGAAAGAACACUUCUGCAGUGGAGCGGCACCUGGAGGACUUCCGGUAAGAAGUUAAACCAUUCUAAAAUGGUUUGACUACUUGCAAUAGAGGGGUCACUGGGACACUCCUGGCGCCAUAACUACUGUAGUGUGUUGGAGUAUUCCUUUAAAGUUUACUUAUGAAUGCAGCCGGAAACAAUUAAUUAGGGAGUAAUCAUACAUCAUAUAAGCUUCAAUAUAGAUUACCUGUAAUGAUAUCCAAACUCAAAUACAGGCGAGUCAGUGGUAUAGUCAUUUAUCUUUAUUGACCUACCUGCAUUCAAUCCAGGAUAAAUGUAGCCCAUUAAAGCUCCCCUAAAUACUGCUGUGGAAACAGCUGAUUUAGAACAGCAUAUUGACAACAAGCAGCAUGUUCAGAGCUGACG